GACAGAGGAUGCAAGCGUUAUCCGGAAUGAUUGGGCGUAAAGCGUCUGUAGGUGGCUUUUCAAGUCCGCCGUCAAAUCCCAGGGCUCAACCCUGGACAGGCGGUGGAAACUACCAAGCUGGAGUACGGUAGGGGGCAGAGGGAAUUUCCGGUGGAGCGGUGAAAUGCAUUGAGAUCGGAAAGAACACCAGCGGCGAAAGCACUCUGCUGGGGCCGACACUGACACUGAGAGACGAAAAGCUAGGGGGGAGCAAAAUGGGG
rnacentral:rRNA from 1 species